CGGCCCCGCUCCGAGGAUGAACGCGGUGCCUCAGCGCUCUAGAAACUUACGAGCUAUUGGUUACUGUUGGGUGUUGCCCCGCCCCCUUUCCCUGAGAAUCGAGUUCAAGACGAGGCUGGAUGGCCGUUAGGGGCGGGGCCACGAGCCGGUGCUCCCACGCGGGAGGGGAAAUGCGGGUUCCCACUCCCACCCUGCUCCUGGCACGGCCCAGACAAGAGACGGGGCGAGGGGUAUGACUGUCCUUGGACACGCUUACCUCACGCAUGCCGUUUGGUCGUGGCGGGCUCUGCCUCGUGGGCCCAGCUGGACCUACAGCGAGGGGAGCUGCCGUUACGAACGAGGAGGAGUAACAACACCGUGGCCAAGGCCAGAAGCGACGCGUAAACCGGCGUCCGCAGUCGGAUACCGUAACGCGACAGAAGUUCGGGGCGUGUGACCGGCUUUAAAAGUGGCCGAAACCGGUUGAAGAGAAACCCAGAUGAACGCACUACCGGAUUUAACCGAUUCGGAGUAAAUCGGUGUGUUGACCGUCUGUCCCCAGUCAAAUUCACAAGGGAUACGUAAAGCCACGUCAGGCACUUAGUUUAUACGCCAAACCCUUCCCGUGUGCGGAUGGACAGCAGGGUGAAUUCGGUCCAACUACCAACCAUUACAGCUAUCACAACGCUCAUUUUCUUCCUAUGGGUUUUGUCCAUCUAUUUACAGAGUAGCCAGCUUGCUCUGCGUUCGUACAGAGCCUCGCACAAAAGAGCCAUCUUUUCAAUUGAUCCCUACGCUAUAGAGGAGAUAUUGUUUAAUCGCGUUCAGCCAUCUAGCACCGUGGUGCCACGGGCUGGGUAAAUGGCACGAAUUGGACCUCGCGCACCAGGAUACGGUGCCGUACCACCUUGUGCGCCCCAUUGAAGAGGCCGGCCCAAUGCCACGGUGGCAGGGGCCGUGGCCCCUGGUCGGGCAGCAGUUGCACAGACCUAGCACUUCCAAAGAAAACGCAACGGUCCCGCUCACCUGGAGACUGAUGGAUGGAGUGAAACUCGUGAACGUCGUGAACGCAGGUCAACGUCUACAACACAGACAAAGUGAACGGACAAGGAGUUCUCAGGGCAGUAACAGGACCUGGGCAACGUGUAACUAAGGAACGACUGCAUUAAAACAGAAUCUGGCUACUAACGGUCUGAAGAGCACAACAAAAAGCGGGAGCGUAAGAGCUCUCAAUUUCAACAGGAUAAUUGUGCGUGGCCCUGAAGUCUACCCAAGAGAGCUUGGAACUAAGGGAUGGACCCCCGCGAGUAUCACUCCGCUUCGAGUCUUUCCAUUGUCGCAAAUAAUAAGUAGAAGCCAUUUGAUGCGUCUAUUAAAAUGAGCGUGGGACUUUAUAUCGUUGUGCUGCCUCCACUUCAGGAGAGAACAAAUGAGUGAAAACGUCACGAACGCUGCCAAGAGCUUUUAAUGAACUUGCUCGCCUUGAAAACAUGUGGCCUGACCCGAAUGAAACAGAUGCAUCAGAACUCCAAGUUGCGUCAUGUUGUACAUUUACGGACUCUGUGUACAAGAGCUUAGUUUUCACUUCUGCCAUUUGUUUUUUGAUGUGCGGAGCCAUCAUUUGCUUGUAUUCAGUACGUGGGGUGGCACGAUCAUUUCCGCCUCCACUACUGGGGAACUGAGUAGUUAAUUCACAAGUCAACUUCUCUAGGCACUGCAUGACCAUAUAACAAACGCACACAACAAAUGAGCAGUGUAGGCAGUUCUUUACAAAAGAGGAUGUUAAGGUGGUUAUUUAUGGAAUAAGACUACUACUUAAUUUAAAGAGCCACUACAAAGUCAUUUAAAAGCACAGUUCAGUAUGGGAGUCUAUGUUGUAGCUGUGCUGGUCUGAGAAAGAGAGAUACACAAAUCUAAAACAGCAUAAUCUGCACGUCACAGAGCAACACCCUCACAGAAAGGACUCUGAUACCCAGGGGAAUAAACUUCCACCCUCUCCCUCCCCUGUGCAAAAUGCAGUUUCUUUUCUACCUAGGAGGACUUUUACAAUGUUUGAAUUCUCCUCAGCCUGAAGAAUGGUGCAUGUGCCCGAAAGCUUGCAAAGAAAGGAAGUUUUUUGCUGCUAUUUAGUUGGUCUAAUAAAAGAGAUCACCUCUGACCCAGAGCUUUAUGUAUCAGUUCAGUAUGGAAGAUGCUUGCAAAAUGUGAUAUUAAAACAAGCGUUAGAUGACUUAAUUUAAACAUUUUUAUUUAGAUGUGGACUGCACUAUAGGCAUGACACAAGCAGCUUUCUCGGAUAAUAUCUGGAGAGGAGGGUGGGGAAGAGAGAGAGAGAGAGAGAGAGAGAGAGAAAAAGACAAUGGGGUUUGUAAAAGCAUUUGAGUUAUUCAGGGACACAAGGCCCAUUCACCGUCACUGAGUCUUAGCCUUCUAAGGGACUUAGUUCUGCUAGCUGUUCUUUUGCCAACAAUUAAAGAUCUGAUUUUCAAAAGUACCUAUCCGUAUCCCUUGGUCUGAAAAUAAAGUUGGCACAGAACUGGACAAAGUAAUCCCUUUGUAUCAUUUGUAGUAUGGUUGCACGCAUAAGCCCCAGUGCAAAUAAAAGCCCAUUUGUACAAAGCUUUGUCCAAAAACAGGACAAUCCUUGCCCUCCCCCAUAGCUCACAAUCUAAUUUAAGAGAGGAAACAACUGUGUACAUCAACACUAAGAAGCAGCCAAGGGAAAGAGGUUCUAAGGGAGCAACAAGAAUGUGUAUUAAUGCAGACCAGCUAGAUUGUUUCAUUCAUCAGUUCAUUAUAUCUUGUAACUAAACUAACAGCUCAUGUCAUUAUCUGCCAGUCUAAUUCUAAUGUAGUCAAUGGGACAAGGCAAAGCAAAAAGGAAAAGUAUCCUCUAAAAGAAUAUGGACGACUUAAGUAUGCAAAUAGCAACCUAUUGCGCCGUAUCCCAUAUGCAAGUGGCUUUGGAGGGACAUUCAAGAGGGUGAAGUCCAUCGCUGUAAUGUGUAUAACUAAAGCUAGGAAAUAAAGAACAGCCUCUGACCAGUA